rnacentral:rRNA from 1 species
UGGGGAAUUUUGGACAAUGGGCGAAAGCCUGAUCCAGCAAUGCCGCGUGUGUGAAGAAGGCCUUCGGGUUGUAAAGCACUUUUGUCCGGAAAGAAAUCCUUGGCUCUAAUACAGUCGGGGGAUGACGGUACCGGAAGAAUAAGCACCGGCUAACUACGUGCCAGCAGCCGCGGUAAUACGUAGGGUGCAAGCGUUAAUCGGAAUUACUGGGCGUAAAGCGUGCGCAGGCGGUUUGCUAAGACCGAUGUGAAAUCCCCGGGCUCAACCUGGGAACUGCAUUGGUGACUGGCAGGCUAGAGUAUGGCAGAGGGGGGUAGAAUUCCACGUGUAGCAGUGAAAUGCGUAGAGAUGUGGAGGAAUACCGAUGGCGAAGGCAGCCCCCUGGGCCAAUACUGACGCUCAUGCACGAAAGCGUGGGGAGCAAAACAGGAUUAGAUACCCUGGUAGUCCACGCCCUAAACGAUGUCAACUAGUUGUUGGGGAUUCAUUUCCUUAGUAACGUAGCUAACGCGUGAAGUUGACCGCCUGGGGAGUACGUCGCAAGAUUAAAACUAAAUGAAUUGACGGGGUCAUAGCUGUUUCCU